GUAGGGAAUAUUGCGCAAUGGACGAAAGUCUGACGCAGCGACGCCGCGUGAGUGAUGAAGGCCUUAGGGUCGUAAAGCUCUGUUGAAUGGGAAGAAAAAAAUGACGGUACCAUUCGAGGAAGGACCGGCUAACUUCGUGCCAGCAGCCGCGGUAAUACGAGGGGUCCUAGCGUUGUUCGGAAUCAUUGGGCGUAAAGGGUGUGUAGGUGGCCAUGUAAGUCAGGUGCGAAAGCCCCGGGCUCAACCCGGGAAGUGCACUUGAUACUGCGUGGCUUGAGUACCGAAGAGGGUAGUGGAAUUCCAGGUGUAGUGGUGAAAUACGUAGAUAUCUGGAGGAACACCGGUGGCGAAGGCGGCUACCUGGUCGAGUACUGACACUGAGACACGAAAGCAUGGGGAUCAAACAGGAUUAGAAACCCUUGUAGUCC
rnacentral:rRNA from 1 species